rnacentral:misc_RNA from 1 species
UUGAAUACGAUUGGUACUGAUGCUGGCUCUUCACCGAGCAUGUGCUCGUUCCAUCUAUUUAUCUUCUCUUGUGCACAUCUUGUGGUCUUGAAUCCGAAACCUCUCGCAUUCGUGCGGUCAGGGAGUCUGAAUAAACUCUGCUCCUGCUUUGUUCAAGAUCAUGUUUUCAUAUACACUAUAAAGUUACAGAAUGUCUUUUAACGAUUGCGCAAGCAGUCAUUAAACCUAUA